rnacentral:rRNA from 1 species
CCACCCCACAUAAUCAAUAAUCCUACUAACCAAUAAAAUAAAUCAUUUAAUUAUGGAAGUAUAGGCGAUAGAAACCCUCAUUUGAGCAAUAGAAAUAGUACUGCAAAGGAAAGAUGAAAUAAAAAUGAAAUAAAUAACUUAAACGAAUAAAAGAAAAGAUUAACUCUUAUACCUUUUGCAUAAUGGUCUAGUAAGUCAAACUUAACAAAAAGAAAUAAAGUUAAUUUCCCCGAAACUAGACGAGCUACUUAAGAGCAGCAUAUAUGAGCUAACCCUUCUCUGUGGCAAAAGAGUGGGAUGACUCUUAAGUAGAGGUGAUAAGCCUAACGAGCCUAGUGAUAGCUGGUUGCUCGAAAAAUGGAUUUUAGUUCAGCUUAAAGCACUUUAAAAUUAAAUAAAAAUAAUAAUAGAACUUUAAAGUUAAUUAAUAGAGGUACAGCUCUAUUAAUAAAGGAUACAACCUAUAAUAUGAAUAAAGAAUAUAAUAACGAAAGAAAUUAAUAAUGUAGGCCUAAAAGCAGCCACCAUAAAGAAAGCGUCAAAGCUCUUUUCUAAAAAACUUAUUAUACCACUAAUUAAUCUAAAUUCACAAACACUAUUGAGCCAAUCUAUUUUAUAGAUGAACUUAUACUAGAAUGAGUAAUAAGAAGAAAACUCUCUAAAUGCACGUGUAAAUCAGAACGAAUAACUCACUGAUAAUUAACGGUCAAAUAUAAUACCUAACAAGAAAAAUAUAUUAACUUAACCGUUAAUCCAACACAGGAGCAUUAAAGAAAGAUAAAAAGAUUAAAAAGGAACUCGGCAAGCAAGAACUUCGCCUGUUUACCAAAAACAUCGCCUCUUGUCCAUUAAACAUAAGAGGUCCCGCCUGCCCAGUGAUUUAUUUCAACGGCCGCGGUAUUAUGACCGUGCAAAGGUAGCGUAAUCACUUGUCUUUUAAAUAAAGACCAGUAUGAAUGGCAAAACGAAAGUUCAACUGUCUCUUUAAUCCUAUCAAUAAAAUUAAUUUUUCCGUGCAGAAGCGGAAAUAAAUCUAUAAGACGAGAAGACCCUAUGGAGCUUAAAACAUAAAAUUAAUUAUAUUAAUUAUAUUAACCAAUAGGCAAAAAAUAAAUUUGUAUAAUAUAAUUUGAGUUUUAGGUUGGGGCGACCACGGAAGAAAAAAAAUCCUCCGAGAUAAACAAUUUAGAAAUACAUUUCGAAAACUAAGACAUUUAUUACAAAUGAUCCAUUAAAUGACCAACGAACCAAGUUACCCUAGGGAUAACAGCGCAAUCCUUUCUAAGAGUUCAUAUCGACGAAUGGGUUUACGACCUCGAUGUUGGAUCAGGACAUCCCAAUGGUGUAGCCGCUAUUAAAGGUUCGUUUGUUCAACGAUUAAAGUCCUACGUGAUCUGAGUUCAGACCGGAGUAAUCCAGGUCAGUUUCUAUCUAUACCCUAAUUUUUUCUAGUACGAAAGGACCGAAAAAAUGGAGCCCAUGACAACUUAAGCUCCUUGUACUAUUGAAAACAAGUAAAAUAGACAAACAAUUCACUACCCCAAGAAUAGNNNNNNN